UACGUAGGUGGCAAGCGUUGUCCGGAAUUAUUGGGCGUAAAGCGCGCGCAGGUGGUUUCUUAAGUCUGAUGUGAAAGCCCACGGCUCAACCGUGGAGGGUCAUUGGAAACUGGGGAACUUGAGUGCAGAAGAGGAAAGUGGAAUUCCAAGUGUAGCGGUGAGAUGCGUAGAGAUUUGGAGGAACACCAGUGGCGAAGGCGACUUUCUGGUCUGUAACUGACACUGAGGCGCGAAAGCGUGGGGAGCAAACAGG
rnacentral:rRNA from 1 species